UAAAUUAAUCAAUAAAUGAAAAACACACAAAAACAGAACAUCGGUUUGCAGCAGCAGAGGCGGUGCGAUUUGGGGGCAAGGAAAGGCUAGGGUUUCUCACACUUCCCAUUGAUUUUUAUGAGAUUAAUUCAUCCGUAAUUCAAGCUGAGUUAUGUGUGUAAUUAUAUGUAUGUGUAUAUAUAUACGAUUGUUGUCGGUUGUGUCUGAUGAGUUCGAGUUAUCGGCGGCGACGCCGUUGUCGGUGAGAGACGGAGGGAUUGUAGGUGGUGGUGAUUUAGUCGAGCGGUGGCUGAGUUGCGUGUGUAUGUAUUGUAUACUGUGAUUUGGGUGUCGAUGGUGUGUGUGCGUUUUGAUUGGUGUUUGUAUACGGAGUUGGAGCUGUGGGGUUGAUUGGCAAUUGGAGGCGGCACGGCGGUUGCUGCCGCUGGAUUUGGCAUGUCGCUGUUGGGAUGUGAUGUAAUUUCUACAGAUCAAACUGAGGUUUUGCCCUUGCUAAUGAGAAAUGUUGAGCCCAACACUUUCCGGAUUAUGCAAAAAAAUCCGGAUACAGUUCCUGUAGGUUCUAUCAACGUUGCAGAGCUGGACUGGGGAAAUUAAGAUCAUAUAAAGGCCAUUGAUCAAUCAUUUGACUUCAUAUUGGCACUGAUGUUGUUUGAUAGCUGAGGUACUUGUGCAUUUAGCAGAGAUGGCUGUCAAGGAUUAUAUGAUCACGAAGAAAAAGAGCACAUUUGUGGACGUCCAUUGGGCUCACGGUUUAAUGAAAGAAUAGAAGAUCUCUAUAUUGCAGAUGCUUACAUGGAAACGUUCUGUUCUAUUUUGCUAAGGUUUUGGACAUUGACCAGGGUAAUGGAAUAGUUUAUUUCACAGAGAGCAGCUUCAAUUACCAGUGCUGGUAUACGCUAUACCAAAAUUUCUUUUUCCUCCUCUAACUGGACAGAAUUAAUACUCAUGUAAGGCUGAAAUUUUCUUCAAGGACCACAACGCGGUCAUUUAUCUCACAGUUUGUAUACUUCUAUGGCACAGCUUCUUUAAGAGGUUGUACCUGGAGAAAAUUGGUUUUAAAUCUGUUGGAACUAAAGCUAUUUUGAUUGUUGUUCCUACUGCUGGAGCUUGUCCUGUCAUUAUAACCGAGGUUUAUAUUAUUAAAUGAAAAGCAGGUGUGUUGAAUUGGUACGACAUCAAAUGGCGGGGACUUGUAUUGAUAUAACUCUUAUCUUGCCAGCUCAGAUGCCCUUCAAAUAGCUGAAAAUGCUGAUCCAAAUGGUACCUAUUCAUAUUCUUGAAAUUUGUGGCUUCCGUUAUUUCGACCAUUGAAUAUGAUUAUACCGUGGACUUCGAUCUUGCUAGCUCCAGUACUUGAUGUGAAGGUGGACUUGGGUGUAUAUGUAAUGCAAAUUAAUUAUAUGUUAUACCUACUUCUAUACGUAGUCUUUGUCAUUGAACUUGCCAUUCCGUGCGAGAAACAAGAACUGCGGGUGUUUGAGGCUUCACAGUUGGUUUGCAUCCACGGUCUUCAGAACUUGUACACAGAUAUAUAUCCUUGCUAACUACUAAAGUUACAACUUAUGUAUUUGGUUAUUAAAAUUAUAGUUGCUACUUGUUAACAAUGUAGCUUUACAGUGUGGACUGUGGACUGCAGGUACAAAGGUACAACGUACAAAGCAGUAGACAUCAGACUAGACUAAGGUGACCUUGCACAUCUAUCUUGCGAAGCCAGAAAGUAUUCAUUUUAGUUGAAAUAUUACAGCUAGUCUAGUCUGAUGUAUCAAAUAUAUCAGUUGAAGUUUUCAUGUAUUGAAAUAUUACGCUAGAUGCAUAUUCUUAUGUAUUAAACUUUCAUAAUACUUUUGUAUUUUUUUUUAUUAAUGAGAUCAAAUUUAUGGUC